GCUCUUUAAUUAAGAGAGCAAAUAACACAGGCAACAUACCAAAGUGCCUGUUAUCUGAAAUUACUUAAUUGUCUGAAAGAGAUAUUAAAGACAACUCUGGAAAUGAUGGAGCUUGAUUCUGCCAUUUGGAACAGUUGUUCUUAUAUUGGUAGCUAUGCUGUUUACAAUAAGGUCACCCAAGUAGUGAGUAUCAUUUCAUGAAAAUCAGUAUUGGAGUACAGCCUUUAAAAUUAAGAUAUAAAAAGAAGAGGCAAAUACUUCAAAGGCCCUUCUGGAGCAGAGCUGUAUUAGAUCACCCAAAUCCCAGGCUGCAGUGAAAAGACUGUGAAGCCCAUGUCUUUUAAAUGGUAAAUUUACUGAAUAUUAGAUGAUGCUCUGAAUUUCAGCUUUACCAUAACUCUCCUAGAGGAACUAACACAAAUGCAGCGAAGUCUGUCAAAGCUAGAAGCCUGCUCUGAGUGCUGUGGAUGGUGUCUGAGACACCACUGUGCAGAAGCAUUUCCCCCCUGUGCAAGAGGGACGUCUCUGUCCUGGCCCUACAGAUGGCCUGAUUAUAAUGAAAGAAAAGAGGAAUAUUGUGCAGAUGAAAAAGACAAGUCAGGAUUCCCUUUUGGCAUCUCCUCCUUCCAGGCUCUGUGGAAAUGAUUUUGUUUGUGGGGAAAUACAGAGGGACACUCAGUCUCUGGCUCACACAUCCCAGCCAGCCACUCCUCAGGGCUCUUCAUGAGUGAAAAAUGGUCCAGGAUAAACACUCAUUUCUUGUCACCAUCUUUCCAGGAGCCUAAUGUUUCUGCCCCUAUCCUCUCAAGCUGAGUCUUUUUAUGCUCUACAUUCAGGGUCUGCUUUCUUCCCCUCCAUUAGAGCACAGACUUUGGGAUAUUUGGUUUGUCAGAUGGGCAUGGUCUUUACUUCACCUCAAGGGGCACCUCACACAUCAGCUCCCCACAUAGCUUUUCUCUUGUAUCAAACAUGAAAAAAUUGCAAUUUCCCUCUGAUGCACUGGCCCAGAAUUAGCAGAUUCUAAGUUAUGAUGAUAGGGAAGGGAGCUGAAUGUCUGCCUACCAGUUAUGAGAAAUGAAUGUUGUGUAACAUCUGUUUUUUCAGUGCUCAAAUCCCAUCAAAUCUUGAGUGGCAUCUUCAAGCCACUUUGGAGAAAGAUCCUUCCUUUCUGUGUUUAAAACUUUCUACACUAUAUGUCAAUUAGGUCUCUAUAACAAAGUUCAACUGAGAUGACUAUGUACACAAGCCUCACAGAAUUCUAUAUAAGAAUAUGAAAUGUUUAUCUAAUUUGGAAACUCCUGCAAAUUGUCCAAAGCCAGGGAAAAAUAUGUGAAUUAUACUGAUUUGGCUGGGUCAAUUGCUGAGCUGUUUCAGUUCUGAGAGAAGAAGCUGGUGAAAGGAAUUUAGAAAGUAGGCUGGGACGUGUUAAAGAUCUGAUGAAGGUGGAAGAGUGGGCACCUAAAAAAGGGAUGGAAUAAACAGUGCUGAAAGAUGCCAGCGGAGAGGAGUGAGAGAGGGAGAAAGCACCUGAGCUUGUAAUGUCUACAGUCAUUGCACAACCUCACAGGUGCCAGUUUUUUGUCGCAUUAUCAGGACAUGCUAAGGUAAAGCCCAGGAGGCAACAGUGGAUAAACAAUAAAAAUCUCAGACCAUUCUGCAAGAAAACCAAAUUGAAACAGAACAGGCUGGAUGCCCCAGAAUUUAGAAAGGGCCUAUCAGUCUAUCUAGACAGUCAUGGCAAUGCUUAUCAAGCUCUGUUUGAGAAGGUCUGGGGCUGUCCUUCCUGUUUAUUCCAGUCUGGAAAAUGUUGAUGAGUUAAGCCUAGAAAGAUGCAAGGAAGGCAGUGUACAUAUACCUUUCUGAGGCAGAGCUGUUCCUUGAGGAGUAAAAAAGUACCUGUGCAUGUCUGUAUCAAGGUGACUAGAAUCGUUAUUCUGUGAUACCUAUCCCAGAACACUUCUGGAUUGUGUCAAAUACUAACAAAAAGGGAUAAAAUUAGUCUAUCUGAGGAACGCAUAUGAGAUUGCUUACAAGUUUGACUGAAUUUUUGUUACGUUUAUAAGGAUGUAUGUAGGAAAAAGAAGAGAGAAAGAGGAGAAAGCACAAAGGUGUCUGUGGGAACUGUCAUUAAAACCUGACUGAGAUUCAACCUU